UACCAGCUCUUCGAGUGGUGUGGAUGUUUAUUGGGCCUAAAGCAUCCGUAGCUGGCUGGGCAAGUCCCCUGUUAAAUCCACCGAUUUAAUCGUUGGAGUGCGGGGGAUACUGUUCGGCUAGGGGACGGGAGAGGCAGACGGUAUUUUCGGGGUAGGGGUGAAAUCCUAUAAUCCCGGGAAGUCCACCAGUGGCGAAGGCUGUCUGCUAGAACGCGCCCGACGGUGAGGGAUGAAAGCGUGGGGGAGCGAACCGGAUUAGAUACCCGGGUAGUCCCAGCUGUAAACGAUGCAGGCUAGGUGUUUGGGCGGCCACGUGCCGCUCUAGUGCCGCAGGGAAGCCGUUAAGCCUGCCGCCUGGGGAGUACGGCCGCAAGGCUGAAACUUAAAGGAAUUGGCGGGGGAGCACCACGAAGGGGUGAAGCUUGCGGUUU
rnacentral:rRNA from 1 species